CGAGAACUUGGAUAGUAGGACGCCACUAAACGAGAUUUAUAACGACCCUAAUUAAGCGUUACAAUCACGGAAUUUUCCUGCACGUUGUAGAAACAACAACAUUUAAAAAUGGAAAUUUAUGAAACGCAACCCUUUUGUAUUUUUUGCUGCUACCCAAGGAUUUGGACAAUAUGAAAAAAAGGAUUACAUCUCCCCAGGCCUUGGUGAAGUCUCUCCGCAGUUGACCAGAAAAGCGUUCACAGAAAAACUUUUAUAACUUUUGCAAAAAUAAUUUAAAAAUUCUGCAAAAAAAAUCAUG